CACUUUUGCGGGAGUAGUGGGUGUUUCAUGGCCUGUGUAGGACUCCCGCUCCAGGCUCCGGCUACGGCUCCCUUUCUUGCAAUUAUUCUAAUGACCUGUUGACUAAUUGCAUAUUAUUCUUGCCUCCAUGUUUCCCCAGGCAGACAAAUAGGACUCUUGGAAACUAAUAACCGAAUAGUUUCGGGUCUCACUGUAGAAUAGGAAGAAUUCCAGAAGGAGACAGAGCAACAAUCAUUUUAACCAUAUUUACUGAGCUAUAAUUAUCCCCCCCAUUCACUCACGCAUCCAUUCAGACUUCUAUUUGAUGCACAGUAAGUAUGCCAACUUCAUAGCAAGCACUCUGCUAGAGAUCAGAAAAAAAUACAGAUCAUGUGGUCUCUGCUUUCCAGUAGCUAUGAAUGGGUGAGACAGCUCAAGAAAACAAAUAGAAGUGCAGAAUGAAGUGUUAUAAUUCCAUUUAAUAAAUGGCACUUAAAAUUUGGCAUUGUAUUGGUACAGAGGCUUUGAAACUUUUAAAGAUCUGGGCCCAACAUCAGAAAUGCACUCAAUAUACAACCAUUCAUCUUAAUCUAUUAGUGUACUCCCGAUGUUUCUGUUCUUUUGUUGUUGUUGUUAUUUCUCUGUGUUGGAGUCCCUUCCUUCCUGAAUUUACUAAUUACUGGAAGGUGUGGCUACCUGCAAUUUGACAAAAUACUGGCUGGCUAGAGCUUACUAGAAAGGGUGAGCCAGGCAUAUGCCUUUAAGCCCAGCACAGCAGAGGCAGGCAGAUGUCUGUAAACUCAAGGCCAGCCUAGUCUGCCUCAGUUCUCAAACCACCAGGGGAGCUGUGCCCUUGAGCUCUUUACAACAGUUGGUAUUUUAAAAGGCAGUUCUGUGUGGGUGUGGUGGCACACACCCAUAAUCGCCAGCACUUAAGGAGUGGAGGCUGAGAGAUCAAGACCAGCCUCUGCUACUUUAGCUCCAGACCAAACAAACAAACAAACAAACAAAAAAGCAGCUCUAACCGUGGCUUUUCCUUGCUGAAAACCAUUAAUCACUUCACCUCCCCUCCUUAAAAAAAAGAUGGGGUCCUUAAUGGCUCCCCUAACCUGUGCUUCCCUGCUCCCUAACUGCCCUCCAUCUUGUUUACAGGUCCUGAAGUGCACCAAGUGACACCUAGCAUCCAGAGCUUUACUCUUGCAGUCCCAUCUGCCCCAGACACUCUUCCAGCCCCUUCCCUCACCUCCAUCUGACUAAGUUUUAUCUGUCCUUUGGGCAGCUUGAAUUUUUUUUUUAACUGCUUUCUUCAAAGGAGUCUAUGCUGCCUGUCUCUGUGGUUUUGCUAUAAACACUAGCUCCCCUUCCACCCCACUCCCCACCCCGUGGGAGUUACCUUAUCUUUUUCUGAUUCUUCUAGUUACUUCUGUCCAGCCUCCCACGUGCUAACUGUGCUUUGGCUCAGACACCUAGAAGUGGAAACAAUGUCUGUCUCUUGAGGUCUUUCAGAGGAAUACUCAGAGGUCCUUGUAAAAAAAAAAAACUAAGCACAUGUCCCAGUACAAAGUAAAUGCUCAGUAAAAUGGCCAGUCCAUCGGCUUCAGGAGAACCGCAGCAGGACGCCUUUGAUUCACUGCUACAUUUGGCAUGGUAGGCAACCCCAAUAAAGUCAUCCAAGUGCAGGUGAGUUGAACUCUACCAGAUGGUGGCAGUAUUCCACCCCACCACCCAAUCUACACGUUCCAAAUGAUGCUGGCCGGGAGGGAAGGCGGGGUUGGGGGGUGAAGGAGCAGGAGCGGUAUGGAGACACUGUCCUCCUACACCUCAUCCGAACCCAGGAGCCAAGCACCAUCUCACUCAGCCCCUUUUGUCUGCUGCACCAGACUGGUCCCAAGUGCCUGGCUUCAGCCCCCAGCUCCUCUAUGGUCCACAUCAGCACAUCCUAGAAGACCCUAUACUUCUUCUACGUCCCUGUCUCCUGACAGAUCCACACUGCCCCACCUACUUCAGACCGGACCAUUUCUCCUGGCCUUCCUAACACACAGUACUGUUUCUUGUCCCCACCCCCUUGGUUUCUAUGACCCCUGGUUCGUCUUUGUCCCUUCAGCCAACCUUUCCCAGUGCCACUUGUCCUUCAAGCCCCUCGUGUCACCUGCCUUUCACUACAUUUGUAAAAAAAAAAAAAAAAAAACCCUGU